UUGAAUAAACUUGGUUGGGUUGUNUUGCUGGCUUUUCGGAGCAUGUGCACGCCUACUCCAAUUUUUAAAACCCCUUGUGCACCUUGUGUAGGCCUUGGAUAACUCUCGAGGAUCAUUACCUCGGCCAGAGAAUUGCUGUGCGUAAAGUCGGCUAUUCUUGCAUCCUGGGCCUAUGUUUUCACACACACUAUUAGAAUGUAUUAGAAUGUUAUACAACGGGCCAUUUGAGCCUUUGGAAAUAAAUACAACUUUCAACAACGGAUCUCUUGGCUCUCGCAUCGAUGAAGAACGCAGCGAAAUGCGAUAAGUAAUGUGAAUUGCAGAAUUCAGUGAAUCAUCGAAUCUUUGAACGCACCUUGCGCACCUUGGUAUUCCGAGGAGCAUGCCUGUUUGAGUGUCAUGAAAUUCUCAACCUUAUGUGCUUUUUCUACAAAAGAGUUCAUAAGGCUUGGAUUUGUGGGAGCUGCCGGCUUUUUUAAAGUUGGCUCUUCUUAAAUACAUUAGCAAGAUCGUCAUUGGUCACCUUUGAUAUGAUAAUUAUCUAUGUCAUUGGUGAACAAGCUUCCUCAAUAAGGGAGAAGAAGGGUCUAGCUUCUAACGGUCUCCUUUGGCGAGACAGUAUUCCUGACUAUUUGACCUCAAAUCAGGUAGGACUACCCGCUGAACUUAAGCAUAUCAAUAAGCGGAGGAAAAGAAACUAACAAGGAUUC
rnacentral:rRNA from 1 species